rnacentral:rRNA from 1 species
GAUGAACGCUGGCGGCGUGCCUAAUACAUGCAAGUCGAGCGAACAGACGAGGAGCUUGCUCCUCUGACGUUAGCGGCGGACGGGUGAGUAACACGUGGAUAACCUACCUAUAAGACUGGUAUAACUUCGGGAAACCGGAGCUAAUACCGGAUAAUAUAUUGAACCGCAUGGUUCAAUAGUGAAAGACGGUUUUGCUGUCACUUAUAGAUGGAUCCGCGCCGCAUGAGCUAGUUGGUAAGUUAACGGCUUACCAAGGCAACGAUGCGUAGCCGACCUGAGAGGGUGAUCGGCCACACUGGAACGGAGACACGGUCCAGACGCCUACGGGAGGCAGCAGUAGGGAAUCUUCCGCAAUGGGCGAAAGCCUGACGGAGCAACGCCGCGUGAGUGAUGAAGGUCUUCGGAUCGGAAAACUCUGUUAUUAGGGAAGAACAAAUGUGUAAGUAACUAUGCACGUCGUGACGGUACCUAAUCAGAAAGCCACGGCUAACUACGUG